AGAGUUUGAUCCUGGCUCAGGACGAACGCUGGCGGCGUGCCUAAUACAUGCAAGUCGAGCGGACGGAUGGGAGCUUGCUCCCUGAAGUCAGCGGCGGACGGGUGAGUAACACGUGGGCAACCUGCCUGUAAGACUGGGAUAACUCCGGGAAACCGGGGCUAAUACCGGAUAACUCUUUUCCUCACAUGAGGAAAAGCUGAAAGAUGGUUUCGGCUAUCACUUACAGAUGGGCCCGCGGCGCAUUAGCUAGUUGGUGAGGUAACGGCUCACCAAGGCCACGAUGCGUAGCCGACCUGAGAGGGUGAUCGGCCACACUGGGACUGAGACACGGCCCAGACUCCUACGGGAGGCAGCAGUAGGGAAUCUUCCGCAAUGGACGAAAGUCUGACGGAGCAACGCCGCGUGAGUGAUGAAGGUUUUCGGAUCGUAAAACUCUGUUGUCAGGGAAGAACAAGUACCGGAGUAACUGCCGGUACCUUGACGGUACCUGACCAGAAAGCCACGGCUAACUACGUGCCAGCAGCCGCGGUAAU
rnacentral:rRNA from 2 species